rnacentral:lncRNA from 1 species
UUUCGACUCGUAAAUUGUAUCUAACUACUUUUACUUUCGUAGCAAGCAUUUUCUUUUCAAAAAAAAAUAUUAUAAAACAACAUUUUAAUUCUCGUUACAAUUAAAUAUCUAAGCAAUUCACAUAAAUCCAAUCGGUAAAAUAUUACUCAUGUUUCAGACUCUAAAAUAGAUUACUCAUACAUGGUAAAUAAGCAGACAAAACAUGCAUAUGAUGAAUUCAUGAUAAAAAAACAUUAAAGAAUUAAUCUUGGAAAUAAUGGAAAUUGACUCUGAAAUUAAACAUGCUUUGAAGGGAGACUUUG